rnacentral:rRNA from 1 species
UACAGAGGGGGCAAGCGUUGUCCGGAUUGACUGGGCGUAAAGCGCACGCAGGCGGCUCAGCGCGUGGGGUGUGAAAGGUGGCGGCUCAACUGCCACACGCCAUCCCAUACGGCUGGGCUCGAGCCAUGCAGAGGUCCACGGAAUUGCCGGUGUAGUGGUGAAAUGCGCAGAUAUCGGGAAGAACACCCGUGGCGAAGGCGGCACUCUGGGACGGUACUGACGCUGAGACGCGAAAGCGUGGGGAGCAAACAGG